rnacentral:rRNA from 1 species
CAGGCGGUCUGUCAAGUCGGAUGUGAAAUCCCCGGGCUCAACCUGGGAACUGCAUUCGAAACUGGCAGGCUAGAGUCUUGUAGAGGGGGGUAGAAUUCCAGGUGUAGCGGUGAAAUGCGUAGAGAUCUGGAGGAAUACCGGUGGCGAAGGCGGCCCCCUGGACAAAGACUGACGCUCAGGUGCGAAAGCGUGGGGAGCAAACAGGAUUAGAUACCCUGGUAGUCCACGCCGUAAACGAUGUCGAUUUGGAGGUUGUGCCCUUGAGGCGUGGCUUCCGGAGCUAACGCGUUAAAUCGACCGCCUG